CACAAACUAGAAUUGAUAGUUGUUACAUGGACUAUACAGUAGGUGAUGGUGUACCUUUGGAGCAAGCUUUGGAAGUUGAGGAAGACCCAACAUCUAGUGCUUAGGAUUUCUACUAGCUCUUGUGUUAUAUAGCUCUUCAUUUUGAAAGACUUUUAGACUUCAUUUUAUCAUGAUCCGUCAUUUCGGGAAACUUUUUAGGUC
rnacentral:sRNA from 1 species